rnacentral:rRNA from 1 species
UACAGAGGUGGCAAGCGUUUGUUCGGAAUUACUGGGCGUAAAGGGCGCGUAGGCGGCCAUCUAAGUCAGACGUGAAAUCCCCCGGCUUAACCUGGGAACUGCGUCUGAUACUGGAAGGCUUGAGUAUGGGAGAGGGAUGUAGAAUUCCAGGUGUAGCGGUGAAAUGCGUAGAUAUCUGGAGGAAUACCGGUGGCGAAGGCGGCAUCCUGGACCAUUACUGACGCUGAGGCGCGAAAGCUAGGGGAGCAAACGGGG